rnacentral:tRNA from 1 species
GCCAGGAUAGCUCAGUCGGUAGAGCAGAGGACUGAAAAUCCUCGUGUCGGCGGUUCGAUUCCGCCUCCCGGCA